ACGCUGGCGGCGUGCUUAACACAUGCAAGUCGAACGAUGAAGCCUAGCUUGCUAGGUGGAUUAGUGGCGAACGGGUGAGUAAUACGUGAGUAACCUACCUUUAACUCUGGGAUAAGCCUGGGAAACUGGGUCUAAUACCGGAUACGACCAAUCUCCGCAUGGAGUGUUGGUGGAAAGCGUUAUGUAGUGGUUAUAGAUGGGCUCACGGCCUAUCAGCUUGUUGGUGAGGUAACGGCUCACCAAGGCGACGACGGGUAGCCGGCCUGAGAGGGUGACCGGCCACACUGGGACUGAGACACGGCCCAGACUCCUACGGGAGGCAGCAGUGGGGAAUAUUGCACAAUGGGCGCAAGCCUGAUGCAGCGACGCCACGUGAGGGAUGACGGCCUUCGGGUUGUAAACCUCUGUUAGCAGGGAAGAAGAGAAAUUGACGGUACCUGCAGAGAAAGCGCCGGCUAACUACGUGCCAGCAGCCGCGGUAAUACGUAGGGCGCGAGCGUUGUCCGGAAUUAUUGGGCGUAAAGAGCUUGUAGGCGGUUUGUCGCGUCUGCUGUGAAAGGCCGGGGCUUAACCCCGUGUAUUGCAGUGGGUACGGGCAGACUAGAGUGCAGUAGGGGAGACUGGAACUCCUGGUGUAGCGGUGGAAUGCGCAGAUAUCAGGAAGAACACCGAUGGCGAAGGCAGGUCUCUGGGCUGUAACUGACGCUGAGAAGCGAAAGCAUGGGGAGCGAACAGGAUUAGAUACCCUGGUAGUCCAUGCCGUAAACGUUGGGCACUAGGUGUGGGGGACAUUCCACGUUUUCCGCGCCGUAGCUAACGCAUUAAGUGCCCCGCCUGGGGAGUACGGCCGCAAGGCUAAAACUCAAAGAAAUUGACGGGGGCCCGCACAAGCGGCGGAGCAUGCG
rnacentral:rRNA from 1 species